rnacentral:lncRNA from 1 species
GUUGAGUUUAGGGAUCUCAAAGAAUGAGGCUACUAAAUCUAAAAAUGAUGUGAUCGGAGCUGGAAGAGAAACCUCGGGAAGGGGAAUAAAAGUAAUGAAAGGAUUGGCGGAGACUAGCUCAGUUGAAGGGUUUGACAUUACGAAGGUGACUGAGAAUGAAGGACGGUGUCUGAGUAUUAGCUUGCCCAACUCCAACAUGGAGGACAGAUGGCCCUGUGAUGGGUACAAAACAACCGUGUCCUCCAUUAUGCGCAGACUUCUUUGUGUUUGCUCAGUACUAUUGGAAGACAGACGGAGGAGCAAGAGAUGCAGGUUUAUCAUGGUGGUUGGGGCUCCACUUAUCCCUUGAAAUUUGAUGGUCAUGAAGGUGGCAUGUGUGUCCAGUGGGGAGAGUCGCGUUCGAUUGAGUACCUCUCCUUCGCUGUCACAAAAGCUUUUGUACUUUUGUUUUUAUCUACUUAAAAAAUUUAAAUUUUAUUUUAAAAUAAAUUUUAUAUAUUUUAAAAUUAUUUUGAUAUGGUAAUAUUAGAAAUAAAUUUUUAAAAAUAAAAAAUAUUAUUUUAAUAUAUUUUUAAAUAAAAAAUACUUUAAAAAUAAUUAAAUAUAUAACUAAAAAUACAAUAAAAAAAAUAUUUAGGAGUUAUUUUGUGACGCUCCGGGCGUGAGUCCGAUGAAAGUCAUGGAUUUUACGCAAAGUCAAAGACAGAGGUGUAGCAACUUCUUCGGGGCUAGCCUAGAAAAAAGAAUAUGGAUCAUUGUUAUUAAAUUAAUUUACAUGUAAAAAAAUUAAUUCAAGUUAAUUAUUUUUAUUAAAAUAUUAUUAUUUUUAUUAGAAAAUUAUUAAAGUUAACACGAUUAACUUGAUCAAGUUAACCAAAUCAUUAAAAUCCAAAGUUAUUUAAUUAGGUAUUAUUGAGUCAAUAAUAUUUUUAAUUUAAUAUAAACCUCAACUCUAGGGGGUUUCAGGUUAUGGGUUUUGAAGAUAAACUUGUUGGACUGUGUUUAAUAAUCAUAAACAAUAAUUCAUUUGAACUCUUUGGUUGCAUUUUUCUCAACAGUUAUUUGUGUGUUUCUUGAAAUGGUUGAGAUAAUAUUAGAUAAAUGGCCCUACUUCGCUGCGAGCCAGACCAAUUUCUUUACAACUUAAAAAAAAUGAUGCCUGGUUGUAUUUUAAGACAAAGAAAAAAAAUUCACAACUCGACAUUAUGGAAAGAAAACUUAAAAAAACAAUGAUAGUCAAUCCCUAUUAAUUAAAAUAUAGAAUGAUAAAAUUAAAAAAAAAUAUUAAAAAACAAAACACCAAUAAAAUUAUGUGAGGCUGUCAAAAUCUACUAAUAGAGUCAUGCAGAUAGGAUAAUCUAAUAAAAGGUAGAACAAAAAAAAAUAAAGUUUAAUUUUAAUUUUUUAAAAAUUUCAAACUUCAAAUGAUAAAAUAAAAAAGGAUAACAAAAAGCAACUUUAAAAGAAAUUGGAGGAGAAUUGAUUUAAUAUAAAACGGUUAAAAACCCAGUUAACCCAUGUUUCAAUUAAACCAAGAAAAAUCAAGUCAAAACCCGUUGACUAUUUUUUCUCUCCAAAAUGGUAUUAUUUUGACUUUUUUAUAAAACAAAAAGAUUUGUUUGACCUGGAUUAACUCAAAUUAACCCACUUGACAUGUAACCCGAUAAUUGUCCUGCAUUGACUCUUGGGUAGGACCUAGAAACAAUGAGAAAAAUCAAGGAGACCUGAUCCUAAUAAAUAAAAUGUUGAAUGAUGAAAUAAAAAAAAUAAUAAAAAAUUAUAAUUAAGAGAAUACAGAUCUCAUUCAAAAAAAAUUAAGAGGAUAAACUAAAAUUUUAAAUUGAAGGGAAAAACUAAAAAAAUAUAAAAUUAAUAAAUGAAUCCAAGAUAAAAAAAAAAUCACAAGAAUGAGGAUUAUUAUUAUUUUUUAAAAUCAAGAUUAUAUAUAAGAAUGAAAUCGAAAACAAUUUAAAAUAUGAUAAAAAUGCUAAGAAUCAAAUAAAAAAUCAAAACAUUGAUGGUCAAACCUUAAAUAUCACCAAAUAUUGAAUUAAAAGACAAAAUCAUAAAGAAAAAUCAAAUUCACAAAAAGAAUCUAAAACAAAAAAAAUAAACAAAGAAUAUCAAUUUGUAACGAACUCAAUGAUAAUGGAUAAAAGUUUUUUUUUUAAAAAAAAAAUUAGAGCCAACCCGGUCUAACUUUUAAAACCUAUGACAUGGAUCAUAAAACUAAACUACAACAUAAAAGGCAAACCCCAUAAAAUAACAAUGUAAAAUUCCCAACCAACUAAAAACAUUAGGGAUAAAGUUGAAAAAAAAACAAAAAUGAUUGAAAAAUGUAGAUUUAACAUGAAAGAGUGUCAAAUUUGACACAAAAAGAAAAUAAAUCAAAUCAUAAGCUAUGCAAUUGAAAAACAAUUUCAAUUAAGAAAAUGAUAAAAAUAAAAUAUCAAUGGAUGAAUUCAAAGAUAAAUUAACUGAAUAAAUAAUUUAAGACCAAAUACAUUACAAUAAAAAAAAUGAGGACUGAAUCUAAUAUAAAGGGCUUGUUUGGGAUUGUGGUAUCAAUGACGGUUCAUAGUGCUUUUCGCUUAGAAAUAAAUCAAGAUGAAGUUUUUUUUUGUUUUUUUUUAAAUAUUUUUGACAUCAACGCAUCAAAACGAUCUAAAAAAACAUAAUUUUUUUUUAUUUUAAGCAAAAAGAAAUUUAAAAUUUUGGGAACGCUGCACUAAAAAAUUAAGUGUAAAGGAAUGAGAUUUUAAAAAAAAAUUAACCUAAUAAAUGAUUGAAGACCGAACACGUUGCAAUUAAAAUAAUGAUAACCAAAUCUGAUAUAAGAAACAAAAUAAUUAAACACCAAAUAUAUUGCGAUCAAGAGAAAGAUGGUCCGAUUUUACUUAACAAACAGAUAAUCGUUAGGCGGUGUCUGGGUGUUGCACGCGCCACUCCAAGGGUGCGAGUGACUCCUACUUGUUGGCACAUGCAAGCACGCCACAUUCACCUCUUGAAUAAAUAUAUGAAUUUACAUUUAUAAAAUUACCCAUUCACCCUUAAUUAAUGUGAGUUAAAAAAAAGCAAUGAGAAAAAACCAAAAUGCCCCUUCCUCCCUUGUUAACCGAGAUAAUUUUUUAGAGUCAUUUAAAUAAGUGACCAAUACAAAAAAAAUAUAUGUAAAACUCAAAAAGCCCUUGAACCGCAAAUGCAUGUAUAUAAAAAAAUUGAUCUAUUUAGUUUUAUUUUUAGUUAAUUUAGAUUAUAAAAUAAAAUUAACUUUUUAAUUACUUACUAGUUGAUUUGGUUAAACUAGUAUAUUUAAUGUAUCUGGUUUACUUUAAUUUAAAUUUAAAUAACUUAUUUUGAUUAAUUAAUUAAGUUUUAAAAUUAAUAUAUUUAUUGAAUGAUACUUUUAUUUUUUUAUUAUAAAUUAUUAAUUUUAAGGGUUUAAAUUUACACGGUCUAGACACCGUAAAAAACUCAACUCGGGACAUGCUUUGUGUCAAUCGGUAAUUGGAUGGACUUGUUAGGUUGGGCUGAAUUUUAAAGACUCGACUUUCCACGCCUUCCCUUCAGCCCAACGAUUAUAGUUUCAAAAUGUUUUCCCUUCAGCCCAACAAAUUUGGGCCACGAAGCAGCCUGGACCCACAUAAACCAGAAAAGGAAAACACCACCAAGGAACUGUAUGGAUUAAGAUUCACAAAAAGAGGACAAAAUUGCACAAAAAGCUGCAAAAACUUUAACAAAGCAACGGUUCUCUAGAUCUCACUACCUCACUAGUCUAAUCUAUUUCUCUCAUAUUUAACGAACAAAUCUCAAUUUAAUUGACAAAAUCAAAGCCCAUAAUCUCUCCCCUCCUUCAAAAAUUCAAGCGUUUUUACCAUCAUCUCCAAUGUAGCAGCAGCUGCUGCACUAAGCCACUACUAGCAGCUGCAGCUUUUCAUGGUUUAGCAAGAAGGAAAAAUGGCAGUGUCUGAUUUGAACCUGACUCCGACGAUUCUUUCUUCCUUUUCUUCUUCUCGUUGCUGUUACUUUUAUUUAUAUCGAAAUCCCGAAGUCGGUUUUAACAGAAAAAAGGAUUGUCCAAAACGCUCUCUGCUUUGUUCAGGUUUUGUUAAAAAAGCUGCUUCCUCCUCGUUCUUUGGAAUUGGAGUAUCUGUUUAUAGGGUUUCGAGAAAGAGUGAUUUCGAAUCCAACAACAGCAAGUGGAUUUUGAAUGCCACUACUGAUACUCGCAUUCUUGACAUUGCCGCUGCUACAGCCACUGUUGAAAUCCCCGUCACUUGUUAUCAGGUUAGACGAACACAGUGAAGCUCUCUUUAGUUAGUGUUUUUGUUUUGUUGAGCUUUUAGAUCUUGAAAAUGACAGAGAAGUGAAAGUUGUUUAUCUGGAACAGAUUUUUUUAGUCCCAUUUCAAGGGUUUAGAUUGUGUUUCGCUCUUCUUGUUUGUAGGGUUUUUGUUUGUUUUAUUUAGUCACGGUCUGCAGUUGAAUGGAUUGGCAGGUUGUUGGUGCUCCUGAUAAGGCAGAGAAGGAUGAGAUUGUUAAGUCGGUGAUGCAAUUGAAAAAUGCUCAAGUGGAAGAGGGUUAUACCAUGGAUGCUGUUAUGUCUCGGCAGGUGGGGAAUCGAGAUUGGAACUUGUGGUUUUUCUGAUUUGCAAAAAAAAUUGUUGACAUGGGAAGGAAAUUUUGGAUUUUGUGAUCUCUUACUUGUUGUUUCGAUAUCAGGAUCUUCUAAUGGAUGUAAGGGAUAAGCUUCUUUUUGAACCAGAAUAUGCUGGGAAUGUGAGGGAGAAGAUCCCACCUAAAUCCUCUCUGCGAAUCCCGUGGGCCUGGUUGUCUGGUGCCCUUUGCCUGCUUCAAGAGGUACAAGUCUGUGAUGUCUUAUCAAAUAUUCUUGAAACGGUUUCACAGUUUUUAAGUGAGGAUUGUCUUUUAGAAGAGACCAGAUUGCUGUUUUGCAUAGACUUUCAGCUCACUAAUAGUUGCACUUGUUACUGUUCAUGGUUUUCUGCUGUGUACCUUCCUCUGAAAAAUUGCUUUACUGAAUGAUCACUAUCCUUUUUGUUGGCAUUGUUCCAAUGUGGACAUUUUCUUACUAGUAUUAAGCACUGUCUUUCCUAGCAGCAGGAUUUGGUAUUAACAUAACAUGGUAGGAUCUUUAUUUCUCUGAUACAGGUUGGGGAAGAAAAGCUGGUGCUGGAUAUUGGUCGAGCAGCUCUCCAGCAUCCAGAUGCUAAGCCAUAUUCUCAUGAUGUGCUUCUAUCCAUGGCAUUGGCAGAGGUAAGAGGAAUCAUUUAGGAGGUCAAAUUGUUGUGAUUUUCAAGUAGCAGGGUUGUUAUGCCCCCUUUUCUUAUCAUAGGUGCUUUCUUGAAGUGUGCACUUGCGAAGAUUGGUUUUGAGAGGAACAAAGUGUCCCUCGGAUUUGAAGCUCUUGCUCGUGCGCAGUGUCUUCUUAGGUGUAAAAUCUCACUUGGCAAGAUGGCAUUACUAUCUCAGGUCAUUAUGAUUCUGUGACUUUCUCCCCUUCAUUUAAGGAUCUGUCUGGUGCUUGCUCAAUUCAUUUUAUUAUGGUAUCUCUUUUUGCUUGUGCCCAAGAUGGUGCUUGUGAUCGAGUCAAUCUGAAUUUUCUCAUUGGUCAUGAAGCGGAGCAAAUAAAUAAUCCAUGAUUAAUAGAAGCUUUAGGACACAUUGUUAUCGCACUUGACAGUGCUAGAAUUUUUACAAAGUGCUCCAGACAACAAAUUUUAUGUCCCACUUGUCUCAUGCUGUGGAGUAUUUUUCAUUAUCCACUGUCCGAUGUAAAUUUGUUGGGUUUGUGUGUAGAUAGAAGAAUCUCUGGAGGAGCUUGCACCUGCCUGCACAUUGGAAUUAUUAGGCAUGCUGCACUCUCCUGAAAAUGCAGAACGGAGACGAGGAGCGAUUGCUGCCCUGCGUGAAUUGCUGAGGCAGGGCCUUGAUGUGGAAACAUCAUGCAGAGUCCAAGAUUGGCCAUGUUUUCUGAGCCAAGCACUUGACAGACUCAUGGCUACAGAAAUAGUUGAUCUCCUUCCUUGGGAUGAUUUAGCCCUUGUGUGCAAGAAUAAGAAAUCACUUGAGUCACAGAAUCAAAGGGCUGUGAUCGAUUUCAAUUGUUUCUACAUGGCGAUUUUAGCUCAUAUUGCUCUUGGUUUUUCUAGCAAGCAAACAGAAUUGGUAUAAAUCCUCGAUUACGCCUUUUAUUCUGUUCAGACAGCUUCCUGUCUUGCCUAUCUCCAUUGCUUUCUGUUUGCUAGGUCAACAAAGCAAAAACUAUAUGUGAGUGUUUGAUGGCAUCAGAGAGUAUUGAUCUAAAAUUUGAAGAAGCUUUCUGCUUGUUUCUGCUCGGUCAGGUAUAUUUUGAGCUCCCUUCGUAUUAGCAUGCAGUUUCAUUAGAAUAUUUUGGAUUGCUUAUCGUGGAUUUUACCGGUCAAUCAUUCAUAUGCAUCCUCCUCUUUUUCUCCCCAGACCUCUGCCCUUCAUUAAUGGCACAGCUCUAUUAACACCACAGAAGUUUUUUGUCUUUUAACUUUCAGGGCAAUAAAGAUCAGGCAGUUGAAAAGCUUCGGCUGAUAGAAUCUAAUUCAAAUCCUGCUACAAGGAGUCUGGUCCCAGGAAAGGAGAUUAAAGAUGUCUCUGGUGCAAACCCAUCAUUGGUAUGCCUUUUAACUCUGGCCUUGUGAGCUGUACAUUGCCACAUGCAUGCAUUUGAAGCAUCAGGUGGAGAGCACAAUUAGGAAGGCCCUAGUGAACUCUAGACAUAGAUGUUGUCAUUUUUUUUUCUACAAUGGUCUUACCUUCUGUCAAAUUAAUUUAGCUGAUGUUAAUAUGGUAUGGUAUAUUUUACCUUCUGUCAAUGUUAGAGGGGAUAUGAGGGAAUUCGAGCUCCAUAUUCACAAGGGGCUUGCCUAUGUGUUAUAUCAGCUAUUGACUACAUCCAACCCAAUAUCAUAUACAUUUUGUUGGAGUCUUUAACGUGGUAUCUCAGCUUGCCCAUUAUGUUCUGCAUUUUUUGUUAUUGUUUCCCUACGUGGUAUUCUUUUAGAUUAUCACCGUCUUCUAAUUUGCUGUAUUCAUGCUGUUUACAUUCAGGAGGCUGUUGAAUAAGCUGUUAUUGGCCUUAUGUAAUGUCCUUUUACAUCUACCAAUUUAAGAUGUCCCUUUGCAUCUGCCAGUAUAAGCUUUUAGGCUGAAUGGUAUUAGAACCACUUUGGUCCUCAGAUUCUACAUGCAGGCCUUCUUUUGGUUAUUUGGGCUGCUCAGUGGUCAAUUUAGUAUAUUGUUGUUGGACUUGUGCUUAGAAGGGGGUGUCAGAGGACUAGUUACAUAGGGUGUAAGAAAAGGACCCUGUUGGUACAUUAAAAUCCUAUUAGUGGGCCAUGCUAUCUCUAACUGUUUAAUUUCACUAUAGAAAAUCCUAACUAUUGGAGAUCUGUCUUGCAUGUUCAUUUUCUUUAGUCUUUCCCCUUCACAGUUUCAGGACCCGUGAUAUGAUUAAAUAAGGUUGUGCACUAGGUGAUUCUUCUGAUCAUCAUGAUUCUCGAAUGUUGAUGCUUUCUCAUGUCAGAAUGCCUGCUGAACUUUACCAGGAAACAUGGCUGAAGGAUUCUGUGCUUGCUAUCUUUUCAGAUACUAGAGACUGCACUCCUUCUUUGGUAAGAAUCAUAUCUAUGAAACACAAAAUGAAUGUAAUCUCUUGCAUUGGUGGGAACUGUUGUUACAACUAUACUUUUCAACAGGUGAGCUUUUUUGGUGGUGAAAGGAGAGCUAUUGCAAGCAAGAAAAGUAGAAUAGCUGCACAAGCCACUGCUCCUGUAUCCCAUCGACCACUGUUUGACAUUGCAAUGAAACGAAUGGAUGCUGGGGAAACAAUUCCAUAUAUGAACUCUUCUCAACACUUUAGGUCUGCUGUCAAGCAAUUAGCUCCAACUGAUCCGCAAAGCUCAUUGAUAUUGACCAAGAAUGCCAGUGGAAGCAAUGUGAAUGAACCAUCAGUUCAAUUGAAGAGAGAUCUUGGUGUUUACAAUAGAGGAACUUGGGAAAGUUGGUUAGAACGUGGAGAUCUGGUUGGAAAGAUAAGUUUUGUUGGAGUAUUAGGGUGUAUUGUGUUUAUUACCUUUAAACUGUCAGGCAUGAAUGUGGGAAGGAUGAGAAUUGCAUCUAGAUUAACGUCUGAUAGAACUAGUAUGGGCACAAGUACCCUUGCCUGGACAACAGAUUCUUCUCUUGAUCGCAAUGUUCACCCUGUUUAUAUUAGUCAAAGUGGUAUUUUUGGCAGAUUGAGAAAUCUGUUGUCCAUGAUUAAAGUGCAGUUUGGAAACCGAUCAUAUACUAAAAGAUUGCAAGGUUCGAGGCUUGCUGCUAGUAUAUCAUCUUCUAUUGCAACAAUUACUAGGAAGCAAAUGCCUGUUGAAGAAGCUGAAGAUCUUGUUAAGCAUUGGCAAGCAAUUAAAGCCAAAGCUCUGGGUCCUGGCCACCAAGUUCACAGCCUCUCUGAAGUCCUUGAUGAGUCCAUGCUUGCCGAGGUAAAACAUAUUUGUUGUGAUAAGAUAUCCAAUCAUUAACCUGCCUCUCUAAUAUUGAUAAGCUGAACAAGUGGCUUUGAAGAUGCAAUUCAGUUUUUGGUUCAUCUGAUUACAGUAACUUGCCCAGCUAAGUGACAUUUCAAAUAGCAAAAACAUAAUUCACUUUCCUUGUUCUAUAACAGCUAAUCAAUCAGGUUAUUCAUUGUUGUAGUUGAAUGCAGUAAGAUAAUUUGUUGCGUUCUUGUGGUCCAAACCAAAGAUUUCAAUUGUGGUUUCAACAGUAAUUUCAGUCAAGAAUGAAUAUUAUCGAAAUUUAGUCUACGUUCUAGGGAUGUCAUUUGCAGAACAAUCUAAUACCGAGUUUGAGAAAAUAUUAAAUUGCCAAUAAUUAAGUAGACUACUAAUAUUUUGUUUGAUUGUCAAGCUGCGUAGAUACAGCUCCUCUGUAUUUUUGUGCAUGAUGUAGUAAGGAAAUACAUUGCCAGAGUAACUACAAAUUCUCACUUCCUGUUUCUUUCCUUGAGGUGCAAACUGUUGAGAAAUUGCUUGCUUUGUUUGGGUUUUUGAUCCACAGUGGCAAGCUUUAGCUGAUGCAGCAAAAGCCCAGUCCUCUUAUUGGAGAUUUGUUUUGCUGCAACUGUCCAUUCUGCAAGCUCAUAUUUUCUCAGAUGGAUAUGGUGUUGAGAUUGCAAAAAUCGAAGCUCUCAUUGAGGAAGCAGCAGAGCUGGUUGAUGAAUCUCUGCAGAAGAACCCAAACUAUUACAGGUCAGUAUAUCCACGUUGCACAUCAGUUCUGAAAUACUCGUGAGUCUCGACAUCAAUGAACAUGUAGAGUUCUCUUGCUUCUUCCUCAUAAAGAACAAUAAAAACGAAAAUAUUUUCAAGAAUCAGUCAUAAACGAAUCUUGGUAUGCCUAGUAGUGUUUCUGCAUAAUUCGCCUUUCCCUUUAUCCUUUUUAAACUUCUAACCAAAUCUGUUGACAGUGAAGUCUCAAUAUUACUCUGAAGCCUGAAUUCCGAAGUGUAAUGUUCUAAUUCUUUCCUUUCUUAUAUUUUUGUGCGUGAUAUCCAUUGCAGCACCUACAAGAUUCUUUAUGUUCUAAAAAGGCAAGAUGAUGGAUCAUGGAGGUUCUGCCAAGGUGAUAUUCAAACAACAUGAUGAUACCUUGAGUCGUGGAAAUUACUAGCUAGCAAGUUGAUGACUUCUGUUGACCUGCUGACACGUAGCUUCUCCAUCUUCAACUUCAACUAACGGAGAAGACCAACAAGAUUGUAAAUGGUUAGGGUAGCAAUGACUUUUACAUAAGAGUAGCAAACAAGGUAGAUUCAACGUUGCGAGUGAAUUGGCUGCCUUGGAUGCUUACAUAGUAAAUUUAAUUUUUUUUUUUAUUUACUCGUAGCUUCAUUUUUCUAACAAAGUAAGGGCUUACCGUCCAUGAGCUUGUUGAGAAAUUAUUUGUUGAAUUAGAUUAUGAUCUUUAUCUUUAGGGAAAUGGAUUAAAAUGAAGAAGAAGAAGAAGAAGAACGGUGGCGGCUAAGGUCUUAGUAAGGAUCGAAUUAAAUUUAUUCAACAUUUUACAUGUUCCAACAUCUGAUAGAUAUUAAUUAAAUUUGAUUUUUACCUCGGGAAUUUCUCUCCCUUAAAUGAAAUAACAAAAAAGAUAUUUCUAGGAAUAAGAAAUUUAUGCGUAACUUGUAUGAAAUUUAUUUUGCGCAAAAAAAAAAAAAAAACAUCUAGGAAAGUGUUUAAUUGUCUUCGUUUGUUUAUUGAAAAUCCAAUGGCAUCUACAGAAAUUAUCAUGACUAUCAUUAUUAAUCACUUGUUAUUCUUAUUGUUCACACGAUUAUCAAGUGCAACAAUAGAUUUAGUUUUUUAUUCAAGCAAAAUUGUUUUUCCAAUAGCCAUAUAAAAACUGAGAAAUAUAUUUUACAAAUUAUUCAAGGCAAAAAUUGUUUUCCAAUACCCGUCACAUCCAUAUAUCACCAAAAGUGAUAGAUAAAUAUAAAAAAUUGUGAAAUAUAUUUAAGAAAAUAUAUUUAAGAUUAUUUUUUUCUAAGCUUGAAUUAUUUUUUGUUACUUCAGUUAAUUUCAUUUUUUUUUUAUGGUAAUAAUAAACCAAGAGGGCUGUUGUAUUGUAUGAGAUGUUUUAUAUAAAAAUAUUUUUCUUGAUUUUGUUUUUUUAUAAAAUAUGUUAUAUAAAUAUUGAUCAAUAUAAAAUAUGUUAUAAACAACUUAUAGACAUCAAAAAAAAGUUUACUUAACUUUAAUUUAUAGAAAAAAAACUCCUAGGCCCGAUGUUGCAGUCAAACCCACUUAAACCUAGGUCAUACAAGUUUAAUAUUAUUAUUUGUAUUAUAAAUAUUAUUAUAAUGAAUAUUGCUAAUAUAAUAAUUGAUAAAUUUUUAAAAAUAUAUUAUUAGUUAUAAUAUUUUUUUUUGUUUUUUUGCUUUUUUCUUUAAUGUGGAUUGCACUGUUCAAAUCCAUAGUAAAAGGCAGGAUGCCUUUUAGUUAUAUGUUUUUUUUUAAUUAUUUUUUAAUUUGAUUUAGUUCGUUAAUGUUAAUUUUUUUUAUUUAGUUAUCAUACUCUUGUGACACGGAUUCCAUGUUUGACAAGUUAACCUGAUUUGACAGGUUAACCCAAUUGAUUCAGAUUUUUUUUCUUUUUUCUUAAUUGUUUUUUCCUUCCAAUUUUAUCUUUUAAUAUUGAUUUGAUUGAAAAUUAAAUUUCAUGAUUUGUUUUAUUUACUUUUUAUUAGAUAAUCUUGAUCUCAUGAAGGGAUUUAAUUGUACUCCUCCCCACAAAGCACUAUUAAAAUAAUGUUUUUUCUUUUCAAUUAAUCUUUAUUUUUGUUUAAUUUCAUUUUAUAAUAUUAAUUUUUUUUUCUAUUUAGUUAUCAUAUUUUCAUGACAUGACCUUACAUCCAAAUCCAUAUUCGUAGUUGUUGGGUUUGGUAUGACAACCAGAUUCACUUAAACUUGAGUAUGCAAGUUUAAUAUUAUUAUUUUUAUUAUAAUGAAUAUUGCUAAUAUAAUAAUUAAUAAAUUUGAAAACAUAUUAUUAGUUAUGAGUUUUUUUGUUGUUUUUUUUAUUUUUAAUUAAUAUUUUUUUAUUUGAUUUAGUUUAUUAAUACUAAGACAACUAGUCUAUUUUGUAUACCACUAUCAAACACAAUUUCAUCUUCAUCUCUUGUUCUGCUUUAUUUUCAGUAUUCUUGUUUUUUCUAUUAUUAUUAUUAUUUUGGGAUAGGAAUCAAACACAAUUUUAUAUAACCUAAUGUAUUAUAAUAUGAAAUAGGAUUAAAAAAUCAACAAAACUAGAAGUAGAUACACAAGAAAAAUAUUUAAACGAUAUAAAAGUAAAAUUAUAUGAGUAAAGGUAAGUAAAAUUACAUGAGAAAAAGUAAAAAGUUAUUGAAGCUUUGCUCUUAAGAAAUCACAUCAUCUAGUCCUAUUUAGACAAGUUUUGGAUUUCUUUUCUCCACCAAAACACUUCAAUAUGUUUAAGUUUUGACAUCUUAUUUUUAAAUACAAGAUUUUUAAGCAUAUAUGUGAAUAUCAAAGGAUUAAACUCACAACAACAAUCGAAAUCCGAGAUUUAGAAAUAAAAUGAAUCGAAAAGGAGUUGGAUGAAACUCGCUAAUAAAUUGGUCAGAAGCUGGACAAAUCAAGUUAUUGUGAGUAGAGUUAGCUGGACAAUGACAGGCAAGAUGUUAAGAAUGGAACAGGAUGAUCUCAUGGUAGACAUUUCCAUUUUCCCUUUGCUUUGGCACACAAAGACACGAAAUGAGCACAAAAAUCCAUGGCUAUAAUCUUAAAGAGUUCAAAUUCAUAGAGCAAACAUCAUGAAUCGGAGACAGUUGAAAGAUGGAGAGCGGGAAAAUUCCAUAUUAAGGGUGCAACAGUUAAAAUUGAUGGGUCCUACUAAUAAAAAUCACUUUUUUUUUGUUACAAAACACUAAAAUAUAUAGUUACUGUUGAAUCUCACCCAAUCAUAUUACCAAACACCGACUUCGUAGUUCGUACUAUGAUUAUGUUGCUCAGAAACAUGUUCUUGAAAGUCGUGGUUUAGAAACUGUACACGUACGAACAAUAACUCUGUGUGGCUAUAAUUUUUAUUUCCAACGUAAAGAAUGCCACGAUUUUCUAAGGAAUUAAUUGGUUCAGAUGAUAUCAAGAAUACUCACACAUAUUCAAUUUAGGAUUUUAAAUUGAAGUAAGGAUGUUUAUUAUGUGGAGAAUAUUAAUUGAGGAUUUAUUUCAAAAAAAAUUCAAAGCUUAAAAUAUAUAUACACGAGGAGGUUACUCUUUAAUAAUAUAAGAAAUAAACUCGAACGAAAAGGGUGGUGUUGAACGGUGCUAAAAACUGUUCAUUGCUUAUUAAUUUUUUUCAUUUUAAUCCCUUAAUUUUUUUUUUAUCAAUUGAAUCCUUUAAUUGCAAAGUUAAUACUCAAUUGAUUUGUAUUUGUUGGCCGGGGACAAAAUUAAAAGGAGUAUCGCCAUAGAUGAUGUGUUUGAAGCUGGCGUGUGAGAAGCUAGGAAGAGAAUAAGAAAUGGAAAAUAGAAAAAAUAUAAAAGGAUUCAAUCUUUAUUUUUUCUGAUUGAAUCCUUUUAUAGUGUAAUUAGAUAAGUUAAUGUUUUGAAAUUAUGAUAGAAAUAAUAAAUUAAAAAUGAAAUUAUUGAAAUGUAAAACAAAAAAAAAAGUACAUAGUUAAUCUCGAAGUUUUUAAAAAUUUUAUUUUAGUCUAACUUUUUUGUAUUUAUUUUUAAAUUCUUAGAUUAAAGAGAGAAGAGAGAGAAAAAGAUUAGCUAUAAAACAACAAGGUAGUUUUUUUAUGUGUUUUGGGAUGAAAAUAGGUUGGGAAAAAAACAAAAGAGUUUGAGGACUAUCCCUCUUUAAUUUUUCAUGAUCAAAUUGGAGGCAGCAGCCUAACAAGCAACAAUUCAAAUUUAUUCAAAACAAAUGUGUCAUCUACUCUUCAGGCCAAAAUAAUAAUAAUAAAAUCGCAGGCGUGGGACUAGGCUUUUUAAUCGAGGCUAAGCCCACACGUGGUAUUUUUUUAUUUAAUUUAAUUUUUAAAAAAUUAAUUACUUUAAAAUUUAAAAUUUUAUUGAUUUUUUAAAUUAAUUAAGAACAUAUUAUUUUAUUAAAAACAUUCAAUUUUUACAAGAGCAUAAAGUCUUUUUAUAAUCUUACCAAAAACUUUUACACCCUAUCAUUAAUUAUUUUUUUAAUGUUAUUUUUAAAAUAACAUAUAUUUUUAUUAUUAUUUAAUUUAAUAAAAAUUAUUUUUAAAAUUAAUGUUACCCAGCUUAGUUGGGUUUAUGAUCUAAAUUAGGGUCGGACAAAAUAAACCAAGUUAAACCAAAUGAAAGAUAUAUUUUCAUCAAUAAUUAAAAAGAAAAAUACUCCAUGUACCUUAAAUUAGUUUAUAUGAUUUAAUUUAAUUUAUUUCUCCAAAUUUUGCAUGUUAUCUUUAUGGCUUCUUACCAGACAAAAAAGAGCGUGUAGGUUAAUAGGCACCGAAUUAAUAAACUUUUAUAACGUAUGACAAAUGAGAUAGGAUGAGCAUUAAUUUGAAUAACUAUGACAGUUGAAAAUAGUUUUUCUAAUUGUUUUUUUUUUAGAAAAUGAAUUAUUGAUUUUUUGAUGUUUGAUUAUGUUAAGUUAUAAAAUAACUCAUUAAUAUUUUGAUUUUUUUCAAGUUUAUUAAAAAAAUAAAUACCAAAUCUAACAUGUAAAAAGGUUGAAAGAUGAUGAAAUUGAAUGAUUUUUUUUUAAUUUAAUAAAUUAUUUCAAAUAAAAUAAAUAACAAUCAAAAAAAUAAAAACCAAAUCUAAAUAAAAACGUUGAAAAAUGAUAAAAUUAAAAAAUAAAUAUAAUUUCAUCAAUUAUUUAAAAUAAAAUAAAUAAUUAUUGAAAGAAUACUAAUCAAAUAUGAUUGAUAAAAUAAUAAUAAAAAAAAAAUAAGAGAAAAAUAAAUAACAGAUAAGAUAAUGAAGAAUAAAGUUGAUAUAAAAAUAAAAUCACAUCAAAUCCUAAGAUAUAAAAUUGACAAGAAAUAAAAAAAAAUCAAAACAAAAUUUAUAUAGCAAUAAAAAAAAAUUAAGGAUGAAGUUUGAUAUAAUCGAUAAAUAAAAAUAUAUCUUUUAUUUUUUUAUAAAUUUUAAAAAGUAUAUUCCGUACAAGAUAAAAGAAAUUAUUUUUUUAUAAAUCAAGUUAAUUUUAUUUUUAACUAAAAGUGUUUUCUGCUGUUUAAGUAUUUGAAAAAAAAAAUUAAUAGGUUGUUUUACGAUUUAAGACAUGUAGCAACAUUUUUUUUAAGCUUAGAGAUUAGUUAUAAAUAUUAGUAUAGAUAGGGAUUCCUAAUUAAAAUGACAUGGAAUAAGUAAGUGUGAGACUAGCAAGAUGUUAAGUUUUAUAUUUUUUGAUUAGUUAUAUACUAAAUUUAAGUUGAUAAGAGUCAGCUACAAUAACAUUUGUGUUUUUUAUUUGUUUAUGUUAAAAAAAGACCAAUAUAUUAUUCUCACAUUGUUGUGGAAAAUAUUUUUAACAAUAUUAUUUAAUGUUAUUGAGGUCAACAAGUUUAUAUGAUGACUCGUUUCAAAGUAAAUUGAGUAAAAAUUUAUAUAGUUUAACUCAAUUAUCCUAAUAAAAACACUUAUUGCUCGGUUAAUUUGGCUAAAAUCAAUAUGAUUUUAAAAAAUAUAUUUAUUUAAAGUAUAGUAUCAUGAUAUUCUAUGUUAAUGCUAUUGUGACGUGUCCAUAGAAUCAUAUGUUAAUUAUCAUAUCAAUAGUCACUUAUCCCACUUACUUAAGAUUUGUUAAUUAUUAUAUGUAUGCGAUGUAACGUCGCAGUAAAGCACAUUGAUAUGCCCAUUUUCAGGUAUGCACACGUGCCGAUGUAAUAGCCAAAAAUUUUGUAUUUUUAAUAUUAAUAUAUAUCCAAAUAAUCUAAGCACCAUAGUGAUGACCGUACUCCUAAUUAAGUUUGGUUUUAUAUUUGUUAAAAUUGAAUAAGUUAAAUUUAUAAAUAUUUAUUUUGGCUAUAUUUAUAAGCUUUGAUUUAAUAAAUUUAUGGUAGUUUUUAGUUUAUAAUAAGUUUUUUUUGGUUUGGUUUAAUUUAAUUUUUUUUGUUUUUAAUCUGAAAUCAGAAACCAAAUUAAAUUAUUUUUUAUUUUUUAAUCAAAAUUACCAGAAAACCAUUUCGAGGCCAUUUAAUUUUGAUAAGUUUUCGUAAAUAUUUCAAAAGAAAAAGAAAAAGAACUGAUAUAGUAAAUCAUUUAAAUUCCUUGAUUAUUCAAAUCACACAUUGCAAAUUCAUAAUAAUAGUAAUUAAAAAAGACACAAGUCACAGCUGAGCAAUGGUUUAUUCUUGGGGAAUUGAUAGAAGACUUAAUUUUAAGCUCUAGCUAUUUAGGAGCUAUUUGAAUGAUUCCACCAGCCUCUCCAUGGCAACAUAAGUAGAACCUCCUUCACUUUUAGCAACCACCGCAGCCUCACUUAAAGCCUUGACUCGUUCUCGAAGAGCUUCACCUUUCUUCGAGUUCAUCAACUCAGUCACACGCUCCUCCAGCUCAGCCGCACUGACAAAAUCAUCUUCAUCCGCCAUUUUCACCGCUAGACCCACCUUCAUUUCCUCAACCAAGCUAACACGAUUCAUCUUUUGCUCUGCAAAUAGAGGCCAACCCAACAUCGGCACCCCUGCACACACAGCUUCAAGUAUCGACUUCCAUCCACAGUGAGUCACAAACCCACCAACCGAGCCAUGGUUAAGUAUUGCAAGUUGUGGUGCCCAUGACUUCACUAUAAAUCCCCUGUCUUUGGUUCUAUCCAUGAACCCUUCUGGAAAUAUCGACUCCAGACAUGGUUCUGUUGCGAUACUACCUGUCUUUCUCGCUUGGGUUUGACCAUCUUCUUUUGGAGGACGCACUGCCCACAAGAAUCUAACACCACUUUUUUCCAACCCAAUAGCCAUUUCCUUCAACUGACUUGAACUAAAGACUCCCAUGCUGCCAAAACAAAGAUAUAAAACACUGCGACUCGGUUGUGAAUCCAGCCAAGUUAGACACUCAUUUUCCUUUCUGCUUUCACCGGUGAUUGCAAGUGGACCGACACAAAAUAUUGGUGGUAGGGGCUCAUUUGGGAUGCACUUUCUUUCUUGUACUGCCUUGCAUGUGUUUGGCUCUAGUGACUCGAACGUAUUUACAACAACUCCUGCAGACCUGAACAUCUGCUUUCCAGUAUCGACGAAGUACUGGUAAACUCUAUGAGAUCGGUCACAGAGAAAUGGCGGGAUAUCUUUUGAUGGAAUUUUUGGUAAACCAGGAAACUCAACAAGGAUGUCCAGGUCUUUCAAGCUCUCAGUGAUGUUUUUAUCUAGGGUAGGCAUGUAAAGAAACAUGGACAAGCCACAGGCACCAGAAGAGUUGUAAUAGUAAAUGGGGAUGUCGAGCCUAGAGGAGAGAAACUCGAAUGCUGGGCUGCAAAAGAAAUCUAUGAUCAAGGCUUUUAUGUUGGAGGACGUAGAAAGACUUGAAAGGAUUUGGUGGAGGUUUGGGUUGUUGAGUUUGGAGAUCUCAAAGAAUGAGGCUCCUAAAUCCAAAAAUGAAGUGAUGGGAGAUGGAAGAGAAACCUCGGGAAGGGGAAUAAAAGUAAUGAAAGGAUUGUCGGAGACUAAUUCAGUUGAAGGGUUGGACAUGACGAAGGUGACUGAGAAUGAAGGACGGUGUUUGAGUAUUAGCUUGCCCAAUUCCAACAUGGAGGACAAAUGGGUCUGUGAUGGGUACAAAACAACUGUGUCCUCCAUUAUGCGCAGACUUCUUUGUGUUUGCUCAAACCAUUGAAAGACAGACG